ACCACCACCAGCUCACCCAGGAACGUGACCCUCUGGACGACAGCAUGCCCCUAGACGACGCCCUCCUGGGGUACAGGCCGCCCUCUGUCUUCCCGUCAAGACAGGCGACGAGUCAUCUGACGGACGGCGACCUGGGCGUGUCGGCGGGACAUCUCGUCAACACGAAGGUGGCCGUGCCGGGCCAUAGGGGCGACAGCCUCUGAACCUGCUGAUGCUACACCUGCGUCAGCUGCUACACCAGUGUCAGCUGGUACAUCUGCUGCUGAUGCUACACCAGUGUCAGCUGCUACACCUGCUGCUGGUGCUACACCAGCGUCAGCUGCUACACCUGCUGCUGGUGCUACACCAGCGUCAGCUGCAGCAUCUGUUGCUGGUGCUACAUCAGCGUCAGCUGCUACACCUGCUGCUGAUGCUACACCAGUGGAAUAAAGCCUCGUAUUUCGCCCCCAUAAGAUCCCACCUAAGUUAUUAACGGCUGAUGUGUCAAUCCUGACACACUUACACCUGUGACACAUUCGUGCAUGUGUCUGUUCCUGACACAUUCGUGCAGGUGUCUGUUCCUGACACAUUCGUGCACGUGUCUGUUCCUGACACAUUUGUUCGUGAUAAUUUGUGAGGCGUUUACGUGUGUCACACACCUGAUGUAUGACACAAUUUGGAUGUAUGUAUGACACACCUGAUGUAUGACACAAUUUCUUGUGACACUGUAAAUAAAGAUCAUUUAUUUUUGCUUCUAAAAGACUUUCCCCCUCGUAUCGGCUCCAUCAUUUCUUUUCUAACG